rnacentral:rRNA from 1 species
UACGAAGGGGCUAGCGUUGUUCGGAAUUACUGGGCGUAAAGGGCGCGUAGGCGGCUCUGAUCGUCGGAUGUGAAAGGCCUGGGCUCAACCUGGGAAUGGCAUCCGAUACGGCGGGCUGGAGUGUGGGAGAGGUUGGUGGAAUUCCCAGUGUAGAGGUGAAAUUCGUAGAUAUUGGGAAGAACACCGGUGGCGAAGGCGGCCAACUGGACCACAACUGACGCUGAGGCGCGAAAGCGUGGGAGCAAACAGG